AUUUUCUGAUAUAUUUUUUUGCCAAUAUGUAAGAUGUGUUUGGUGGAUCUAAGCAGAGUCAGGCUGGAUUAGUCCUUGGAUGGGAGACCACAAGGAAAUCCCAGGGUUGCAAGUU
rnacentral:rRNA from 1 species